CACGUAGGGCGCAAGCGUUGUCCGGAAUUAUUGGGCGUAAAGAGCUCGUAGGCGGUCUGUUGCGUCCGCUGUGAAAACUCGGGGCUCAACCUCGAGACGUCGGCGGAAACCAUCUGGCUAGAGUCCGGAAGAAGAGAGUGGAAUUCCUGGUGUAGCGGUGAAAUGCGCAGAUAUCAGGAGGAACACCGGUGGUGUAGACGGCUUUCUGGACCGUAACUGACGCUGAGACACGAAAGCGUGGGUAGCAAACAGG
rnacentral:rRNA from 1 species